UACGUAGGGUGCGAGCGUUAAUCGGAAUUACUGGGCGUAAAGCGUGCGCAGGCGGCUAUGCAAGACAGAUGUGAAAUCCCCGGGCUUAACCUGGGAACUGCAUUUGUGACUGCAUGGCUAGAGUGUGUCAGAGGGGGGUAGAAUUCCACGUGUAGCAGUGAAAUGCGUAGAUAUGUGGAGGAAUACCGAUGGCGAAGGCAGCCCCCUGGGAUAGCACUGACGCUCAUGCACGAAAGCGUGGGGAGCAAACAGG
rnacentral:rRNA from 1 species